GGCGGGCCUGAAAGGAGAAGCACAAAACAGGAAGGCAGCGGCGUCACUUGCUGCUGGGAUCCAGCUUCCACACACUAAACGUGUGACAGUUAGGACCCUACUCGUCAGGACGCUGACUGCCCUUGUUCACGGCUGACUAGCAACGUGGUGGGGCAAUCGCGGCCGCAACAGAGGCGAGCGAGCCUGCGAGUCCACGACUCCCAGAGCCAGGGCCAGGCGCACCCCUAGAGGAUGCGGUGUCCCCAUGAGCUGGAGCAGAUCAACUCAGCCAAGGAGGAGGACCCACAGUGAAUCACUUCACAUCUGUGAACAAACUUUAAGUUUCGAAUGUAGGAGCACUUGAAACCGGUUCUGGCACGAGCAUGAGUUUGUGCACGAGCAUGAGUGUGUGCAUGAGCAGGUCCGUCUGCCAGAGAAGGGCUCCUGCGUCUUCUUUAGGCCACACGGUGGGUCACAGCCAGAGCCUACAAGACCCUCUAGAGGCCUGUCUCUGGUUUCCUUCCCCUUUAAAACAGAUCAGAAAGUUAAUGCCCUCUGAUGGUUGAAAACAUAUGUACCGCGAAGGGUGGAGCCCCUGAUGGGACCCGCUUUGGAGCGUCUGCCCUUGUUCCUGGGGCAGGGCUCCUGGAACACACAUUUGUACUCCAGGAGAAGGUGUCCCCACCAAGAGGUGACGGGCAGAGGCCCUCACUGAGCUGGUUCAGUAAUCCUCUUCCUCCCAGGAAUCUGGGGGUUGCUGAACAAGACGCCUAAAGCUGAAGGCUGGAGCAGUGGUGCCCAAGUUCUGCUGUUCGGGCCAGAGAAGGAGAAGAAUAAUAUUUAAGAAGAGAGAACAGUGAAGCUGAAACGCACAGAGCUGCAGAGCUGGGAGGAGAGAAGCAUCCUGACGCCUUCUGAUUUCUUGGUUACAGUCCUUCCUGAGGUCUGACCGCAUCCUCCCUCUGGAUUCUGGAAACAUUUUUGCAUUCCUAUAAAAGGCUACUCACCAGGCACAUAAUCUAUAAGGAGUGUUGAAACACCGCUGGAAAUGUCAUAGGAUGGAGAAUAUUGUGACACCCGAAGUGUCUAGAAUUACACACAGUUGGAAGCAAUACUUUGAGUGGCCAGUAGGGGGAGACUCCAUCAAAGGGUUUCCUUAGUACUGUCGCACCAAACGUGUAGAGGAUUUAUAAGGGGUGGGGAGGGUGUCCUCUUCACUGCAGGGCUUUCGUUUUCCCCACUGGGUGUGCAUCUUUGGGGCCAAAAGCUGAGUUGCUCUGGACAACAGGGCAGAGACUGAGCACUCCUCAGCCAUCUCCCUAUGCACAGAUCAGAUUUUCUACAGAAAAAGUUUGAGGAUGCAAAGAACAAAGAAUAUAUUUAAAAGGAUACCAAAUUGUUAGGCACCGAUGUAGAGUGGUCCUGUCUUAUUAAUAAAUCUCUGGCCCUCUUUGCAUAAAUCAUUCCAAGUUGAUUUCUGUCAUUUCCUGCCCAAAGGACCUUAACUAAUACAGUCCCUUCUUCUGUUUUCUUCUGUUUCGAUAGAAGGUGGAGCCAAUGGGAAGUCAGAAGGAACCACUGAGUUUCCUAAAUAUGAAAGAUGAGGUGGCUUAGGGAGCUAGAGACCAUCAUAGAAGCUGAAGCCCAAGACAGCUCAGACUGGUCAUUGAGGACCUAGUAAAAGACACGAGUUUCUGGCUCCAGUCCCACCUCCAACAGGCCCUGUCGCCAUCAGCCAGAUGGAACCACUGACUCUGUGGGGCCGCAGAUUCCAAUCCUGGCUGGUUAUCAGGAGCAAGCGAGCAGCUCUAAGAAGAUGUAGAUCGCCAGGCUCCGCUCCCGAAGAUUCAAGAGGAGGCCAGGUGAUAACCUGGUGAGAAGGCAGCCGUCUACGAGCCAGAGAGAGAGAAGUCUCACCAAACCAACACCGCCAGCACCUGACCUGGGACUUCUAGCCUCAGAACUAUUUAAAACCCUUGUUCUGCGAAGGGAUCCACAGGCUUUGCCCAACCAGAAGUGAGGUCCAUGGCACAGAAGCGUGCAGGACCCCGACGCAGAGGGAUCCAGGUUGGACGACCUCCAUUGUCUCCUCCAGGUAUGAAAGUGUGACUCCGUUUAUCCUAGGGAUCUGCAAAGGCUUGAGAAUAUUUGGUAAACAAGGCUGCUGAUAGAUCUCCCAACGUGGGUUCUCUCCACUUUGUGAGAAUCAAGAGUCGACACAGAGCAGUUUUCUUGGACCGAGUUCCCUGGUCAUUGUCGUGUCGGUCUGCUGCCUCCAGAGGGAUGGUGACCGCACAGAUCUUCCUCUGAAGAACGCAGUGGGUACAGCAGACAUGGGGUCAGGCACCUGCAGCGUCCACGCCCUUCUAAGAACACGCUCCAAAGCAUCUCUUUUGUUUCCCAGUGUGACUUGCCUGCCGCCCUCUUCCAGGACGCAGGUAAUGGACCGAGCGUGGACACCGCACAGAGGCCGAGCCGUGCAGUGAGAAGUGUGCCUCCAUCUUCUCCUCAGUGAAAAGGGGUGAUAACAGUGUCUGCCUCACAGGCCUGUGCUCAAUAAAUGCUACUAUUAUUUGUUAGA